GCCCCGGUAGCUCAGCUGGAUAGAGCAACGGCCUUCUAAGCCGUGGGUCGUGGGUUCGAAUCCCGCUCGGGGCACCA
rnacentral:tRNA from 1 species